AUUGAACGCUGGCGGCAGGCUUAACACAUGCAAGUCGAGCGGGGGAGGUUGCUUCGGUAACUGACCUAGCGGCGGACGGGUGAGUAAUACUUAGGAAUCUGCCUAUUAAUGGGGGACAACAUCCCGAAAGGGAUGCUAAUACCGCAUACGCCCUACGGGGGAAAGCAGGGGAUCACUUGUGACCUUGCGUUAAUAGAUGAGCCUAAGUCGGAUUAGCUAGUUGGUGGGGUAAAGGCCUACCAAGGCGACGAUCUGUAGCGGGUCUGAGAGGAUGAUCCGCCACACUGGGACUGAGACAUGGCCCAGACUCCUACGGGAGGCAGCAGUGGGGAAUAUUGGACAAUGGGGGGAACCCUGAUCCAGCCAUGCCGCGUGUGUGAAGAAGGCCUUAUGGUUGUAAAGCACUUUAAGCGAGGAGGAGGCUCAUUUGGUUAAUACCCAAGAUGAGUGGACGUUACUCGCAGAAUAAGCACCGGCUAACUCUGUGCCAGCAGCCGCCGCCG
rnacentral:rRNA from 1 species